rnacentral:rRNA from 1 species
UACAGAGGAUCCAAGCGUUAUCCGGAUUUAUUGGGUUUAAAGGGUGCGUAGGUGGCCUGUUAAGUCAGGGGUGAAAGACGGUAGCUCAACUAUCGCAGUGCCCUUGAUACUGAUGGGCUUGAAUGAACUAGAGGUAGGCGGAAUGUGACAAGUAGCGGUGAAAUGCAUAGAUAUGUCACAGAACACCAAUUGCGAAGGCAGCUUACUAUGGUUUUAUUGACACUGAGGCACGAAAGCGUGGGGAUCAAACAGG